rnacentral:rRNA from 1 species
GUAUACGCCAAUGGAAUUCAGAACCGCCCAGAUUCUCUACGGAGGCAAGCAGUGGGAAUUUGGACAUGGCGAAGCUGAUCCAGCCAUGCGCGGGCGGGAAGAAGCUUCGGUUGUAACCGCUUAGUCGGGAAAAGGGGUGCGGAGGAUAAAUACCCUCGUGCUUUGAUGGUACUGGAAGAAAUAAGCACGGCUAACUACGUGCCAGCAGCCGCGGUAAUACGUAGGAUGCGAGCGUAAUCGGAAUUACUGGGCGUAAAGCGUGCGCAGGCGGUCUGUAAGACAGUCGUGAAAGCCCCGGGCUUAACCUGGGAACUGCGAUUGUGACUGCAAGGCUAGAGUGUGUCAGAGGGGGGUGGAAUUCCACGUGUAGCAGUGAAAUGCGUAGAGAUGUGGAGGAACACCGAUGGCGAAGGCAGCCCCCUGGGAUAACACUGACGCUCAUGCACGAAAGCGUGGGGAGCAAACAGGAUUAGAUACCCUGGUAGUCCACGCCCUAAACGAUGUCAACUGGUUGUUGGAAGGGUAACCUUUUAGUAACGAAGCUAACGCGUGAAGUUGACCGCCUGGGGAGUACGGUCGCAAGAUUAAAACUCAAAGGAAUUGACGGGGACCCGCACAAGCGGUGGAUGAUGUGGUUUAAUUCGAUGCAACGCGAAAAACCUUACCUACAC